CAGCCGCCGCGGGAAUACGAAGGGGGCUAGCGUUGUUCGGAUUUACUGGGCGUAAAGCGCACGUAGGCGGACUUUUAAGUCAGGGGUGAAAUCCCGGGGCUCAACCCCGGGACUGCCUUUGAUACUGGGAGUCUUGAGUUCGAGAGAGGUGAGUGGAAUUGCGAGUGUAGAGGUGAAAUUCGUAGAUAUUCGCAGGAACACCAGUGGCGAAGGCGGCUCACUGGCUCGAUACUGACGCUGAGGUGCGAAAGCGUGGGGAGCAAACAGGAUUAGAUACCCCCGUAGUCCCUGUCUCUUAUAC
rnacentral:rRNA from 1 species